ensembl:lncRNA
AUUAUAUAUAUUUUUAGCUUAAUUUAAAACGUCUUUAUUUUUUUAACUAAAUUAAGUACUCGUUCAUUUAUAUAUAACCUUACAUACGUUACUUUUUUUGUUUCCUUUAAUUUAAUUAUUGUAAUUUAUUUUUUUUUUUAUAUUUCGUUUUUUCUAAAAUAUUUGAAAAUAGUUUUGCUUAACAUUGCACACUUUCCGUAUAGAGAAAAAUAUAACGCGUACAUUGUAUCUCAAUUUAUAAAUUAUUACUACAACACCAGUAUAUAUAUAUAUAUAUAUAUACAUAAGUUGUAUACAAAAAAUAAAAAGAACAAGAUGGAUAAUCAGAAAAGCAUGGAAGAGGCACAAAACGCCUUAGGACUGAUGAUAUAUAAAAUUUUAAACAAUCAAGUAAAAAAAACAUGUUUUGAAAAAUGUUUUGGUCAAAAGUUUUCUGAGCAGAUGGGAAAGACAGAACAAGUUUGUUUAGCCAAGUGUAUGGAUAGAAUGUGAGUGCACAUAUUGACACAUAUAUAUAUAUAUAUAUAUAUAUAAACAUAUGAAUGUAUUUACAUUUGAUUCCUUUGAUUAUUCUUUUAUUUAUUUGCAAGUAGAUACGUAAACUUUUGGCAACUACAAAACAAUGAAUGAAUAUAUAUAUAUUUAUAAAACUUAUUGUUUUUUUUUUUUUUUUUUUUUAGGUAUGAAACACAUACUAUUGUGACUAAAGCGUCUACUGAAAUGGCACAAAAUGUUAACAUUGACUCCAACUUUUAAAGCUUAAUAUAUGUAACAACGUUUUUUUUUUGUUCAUUGUAUUUUUUCAUAAUAUUAUAUGUACUUUUUUUUUUAUUUUUUUUUUAUAACUAUUUACACUUUUUAAAAACACAAAAAAAAAAAUAGCGUAAAGCUAAUAUUUAUAAAAAAUAAAAUAAUUAAAAUUUAAUAACA